GCAUAUCAAUAAGCGGAGGAAAAGAAACCAACAGGGAUUGCCUCAGUAACGGCGAGUGAAGCGGCAACAGCUCAAAUUUGAAAUCUGGCCUCUUUGGGGUCCGAGUUGUAAUUUGGAGAGGAUGUUUCGGGCACGGUCCGGGCUUAAAUUUCUUGGAACAGAAUGUCACAGAGGGUGAGAAUCCCGUCUGGAGUCCGCGACACGACCUAUGUGAAACUCCUUCGACGAGUCGAGUUGUUUGGGAAUGCAGCUCUAAAUGGGUGGUAAAUUUCAUCUAAAGCUAAAUAUUGGCCAGAGACCGAUAGCGCACAAGUAGAGUGAUCGAAAGAUGAAAAGCACUUUGAAAAGAGAGUUAAACAGUACGUGAAAUUGUUGAAAGGGAAGCGCAGGCAACCAGACUUGCGCGUCGGGGUUCCCCCUUGCUUCUGCCUGGGUUACUCCCCGGCGUUCAGGCCAACAUCGGUUUCGGGGGUUGGUUAAAGACCCUGGGAAUGUAUCUACCCUGCGGGGUAGACUUAUAGCCCAGGGUGUCAUGCGACCUCCCGGGACCGAGGAACGCGCUUCGGCUCGGAUGUUGGCGUAAUGGUUGUCUGCGGCCCGUCUUGAAACACGGACCAAGGAGUCUAACAUCUAUGCGAGUGUUAGGGUGUCAAACCCUUACGCGGAAUGAAAGUGAACGGAGGUAGGAAGCCUUAAGGCUGCACUAUCGACCGAUCCUGAAGUUUACGGAUGGAUUUGAGUAAGAGCAUAGCUGUUGGGACCCGAAAGAUGGUGAACUAUGCCUGAAUAGGGUGAAGCCAGAGGAAACUCUGGUGGAGGCUCGCAGCGGUUCUGACGUGCAAAUCGAUCGUCAAAUUUGGGUAUAGGGGCGAAAGACUAAUCGAACCAUCUGGUAGCUGGUUCUGCGG
rnacentral:rRNA from 1 species